rnacentral:rRNA from 1 species
UACGGAGGGGACUAGCGUUGUUCGGAAUUACUGGGCGUAAAGCGUGCGUAGGUGGUUUGUUAAGUCUGAUGUGAAAUCCCCGGGCUCAACCUGGGAAUGGCAUUGGAUACUGGCAGGCUAGUGUGCGGUAGAGGGUGGUGGAAUUCCCGGUGUAGCAGUGAAAUGCGUAGAGAUCGGGAGGAACAUCUGUGGCGAAGGCGGCCACCUGGACCAGCACUGACACUGAGGCACGAAAGCGUGGGGGGCAAACAGG